rnacentral:rRNA from 1 species
GAUGAACGCUAGCUACAGGCUUAACACAUGCAAGUCGAGGGGAAACGACAUCGAAAGCUUGCUUUUGAUGGGCGUCGACCGGCGCACGGGUGUGUAACGCGUAUCCAACCUGCCCAUCACUUGGGGAUAACCUUGCGAAAGUAAGACUAAUACCCAAUGAUAUCUCUAGAAGACAUCUGAAAGAGAUUAAAGAUUUAUCGGUGAUGGAUGGGGAUGCGUCUGAUUAGCUUGUUGGCGGGGUAACGGCCCACCAAGGCAACGAUCAGUAGGGGUUCUGAGAGGAAGGUCCCCCACAUUGGAACUGAGACACGGUCCAAACUCCUACGGGAGGCAGCAGUGAGGAAUAUUGGUCAAUGGGCGAGAGCCUGAACCAGCCAAGUAGCGUGCAGGAAGACGGCCCUAUGGGUUGUAAACUGCUUUUAUAAGGGAAUAAAGUGAGAGUCGUGACUCUUUUUGUAUGUACCUUAUGAAUAAGGACCGGCUAAUUCCGUG